CAGUAGCCGCGGUAAUACGUAGGGUGCGAGCGUUAAUCGGAAUUACUGGGCGUAAAGCGUGCGCAGGCGGUUCGUUAAGACAGAUGUGAAAUCCCCGGGCUUAACCUGGGAACUGCAUUUGUGACUGGCGAGCUAGAGUAUGGCAGAGGGGGGUAGAAUUCCACGUGUAGCAGUGAAAUGCGUAGAGAUGUGGAGGAAUACCGAUGGCGAAGGCAGCCCCCUGGGCCAAUACUGACGCUCAUGCACGAAAGCGUGGGGAGCAAACAGGAUUAGAUACCCGUGUAGUCCCUGUCUCUUAUAC
rnacentral:rRNA from 1 species